UACGAAGGGUGCAAGCGUUACUCGGAAUUACUGGGCGUAAAGCGUGCGUAGGUGGUUUGUUAAGUCUGAUGUGAAAGCCCUGGGCUCAACCUGGGAAUGGCAUUGGAUACUGGCGAGCUAGAGUGCGGUAGAGGGUAGUGGAAUUCCCGGUGUAGCAGUGAAAUGCGUAGAGAUCGGGAGGAACAUCUGUGGCGAAGGCGACUACCUGGACCAGCACUGACACUCAGGCACGAAAGCGUGGGGAGCAAACAGG
rnacentral:rRNA from 1 species